CUUCCUUUUCUUCCCUUCUUAACCCCUCCCCCCUCUAUCCUUUCUUCUUCCUUCCCUCCCUUUCCUCCCUCUCCUUUCCCUUCUCUCCCUACCGGCUGCCACUCCCCUCCCUGCCUACGCCGAGCUACCGUCGCCGCCAGCAGCCCCUUCCCUUCCACUGCGACGUCGAUAGAAGGAGGAAAGCCUCCCUCCUCGCCACCGAGCCGCUUCCGUCCUUCCUUGCUGUUGUCGAUGCUGGAAUCGAGCUCCCCACCACCGAAGGCCCCUGAAGCAAGCCUUCCCCGUUGUUUUCCCACCGCCAGCAGCUUCGGAGGAGCUUCAUCGAAGCAGCCCCUUCCCGGCCCCAAUCCGGUGCCUUCCGGUGAGUUUCCGGCCAAAACUCUUAUGUUUUCGGACUCCCCGUAACUCGAGCUCUACGUAGGCGCUUCCGUAUUCGAAUUUUGACACCGUUGGCAAAACUAGAUUCCGGAUCCGGUGUUUUUUCGGACGCUCAUAAUAUUUAAAUUUCAGCUCGAUAUAAUUUUAUUUAGAUCCUAAAAAUUAUGUUGUAAUUUUAUAAAAAUAUUGUUGCUAUUAAUUAUCAAUUAUGUAUAAUUUAAAGUUAAUUAGAUUUAAUUAAUUAUGAUUGUGGUGUGUUGCGGAGUCAGAAAAAUAAUGUUGUUUUGGUGGUCCGACUCUCGUUAAUUAAUCACAAAAUAUGUGAAGUGUUUCUAGCAGGUUUUGGACCCAUUGUACGGGGGUAAAUGUCUGUAUUUUAGAAGAGGGUCUGCCGAGUUUUCGACAGAAUUUUCGAGUCUAAAAUAAUUUUAGACAGUGUAAUCUAGGGGUCUAGGCCUAGAAAAAUAUAAGAAUGUCUAUUAACUGAGUGUUGUCGUGAAUAGAUAAUCCGUUCAUCCCCUGGCUCCACCUGAGGUGUAAGAGCGGAUUGCGGAGCGCGACAGAACUAUGAGUUAAAGUCAUAUAAUCGAUGUACUUUGACAUGUCUAGAUUUCAUGCAAUAUUUAAUGUUUAAUGUUUAUGUAUGAUUAUCAUUAUCGUUAUUUAUAAUAUUUUAAAUAAAUAUUAUUUUAAUACUAUUAUUAUUAUCGCUACUGAUAUUUUGCAUGUUUGUUUUAUCCGAUAUUACUAAAUUUUAUUUUUCAGUAUGAUAUUGAAUAAUUAUGUCAAUCUAUGAAUAUUCUAUUAUGGUUAUUAUAUAUAUGUUAUGAUUGUAACAAUGGGAUGAGGCUAUAGUAGAACAUGUCACCUAGUGGGUUGCAUCAGGACCGCGUGCACACCAGUAAUAAUAAAAAACACGUAACAAAGGUUAGUUGUGGAU
rnacentral:lncRNA from 1 species